rnacentral:rRNA from 1 species
UGGGGAAUAUUGCACAAUGGGCGCAAGCCUGAUGCAGCCAUGCCGCGUGUGUGAAGAAGGCCUUCGGGUUGUAAAGCACUUUCAGCGGGGAGGAAGGCGAUAAGGUUAAUAACCUCAUCGAUUGACGUUACCCGCAGAAGAAGCACCGGCUAACUCCGUGCCAGCAGCCGCGGUAAUACGGAGGGUGCAAGCGUUAAUCGGAAUUACUGGGCGUAAAGCGCACGCAGGCGGUCUGUCAAGUCGGAUGUGAAAUCCCCGGGCUCAACCUGGGAACUGCAUUCGAAACUGGCAGGCUAGAGUCUUGUAGAGGGGGGUAGAAUUCCAGGUGUAGCGGUGAAAUGCGUAGAGAUCUGGAGGAAUACCGGUGGCGAAGGCGGCCCCCUGGACAAAGACUGACGCUCAGGUGCGAAAGCGUAGGGAGCAAACAGG